rnacentral:rRNA from 1 species
UACGUAGGGGCCGAGCGUUGUCCGGAGUUGCUGGGCGUAAAGCGCGCGCAGGCGGCUCGUCAAGCCUGACGUGAAAGCCCCCGGCUCAACCGGGGAGGGUCGUCGGGGACUGGCGGGCUUGAGGUCGGCAGGGGUUGGUGGAAUUCCCGGUGUAGUGGUGAAAUGCGUAGAGAUCGGGAGGAACACCCGUGGCGAAGGCGGCCAACUGGGCCGGACCUGACGCUGAGGCGCGAAGGCGUGGGGAGCGAACGGG